rnacentral:rRNA from 1 species
AGGGCGCAGGGCGAAUGCCUUGGCACUGGGAGCCGAUGAAAGACGUGAUAAGCUGCGAUAAGCUUCGGGGAGCUGCAAAUAAGCAUUGAUCCGGAGAUCUCUGAAUGAGGAAACUCACCUGGGUUCAUACUCAGGUACGUUAUACUGAACUUCAAAAUAGGUAUAUCGAGGGAACCGCCUGAACUGAAACAUCUAAGUAGGGCGAGGAAGAGACAUCAAACGAGAUUCCGUAAGUAGUGGCGAGCGAACGCGGAAGAGGGCAAACCGUGAGUAGAAAUACUUGCGGGGUACGGACUGCUUUUAGGACUUAAUCUGUUAACCGAACGGCAUGGGAAGGCCGGUCAGAGAGUGUGAGAACCACGUAGGUGAAAACGGAGAGAGCUGCGCAGGAUCCAGAGUACGGCCAGACACGUGAAACCUGGUCGGAAUACGGGGGGACCACCCUCCAACCCUAAAUACUACCCAGUGACCGAUAGCGUAUAGUACUGUGAAGGAAAGGUGAAAAGCACCCCGGGAGGGGAGUGAAAAAGAACCUGAAACCCUGUGCCUACAAGCACCUAGAGCACGUCAAUGUGUGAUAGGGUACUUUUUGUAGAACGGUCCGGCGAGCGAUUGUAUGCAGCAAGGUUAAGGACUUAAGGUCUGGAGCCGAAGCGAAAGCGAGUUUGAAAAGGGCGUUAAGUUGCAUAUAAUGGGCCCGAAACCGGGUGACCUACCCAUGGUCAGGUUGAAGUGGAAGUAAAAUUCCAUGGAGGACCGAACCGACCUCCGUUGAAAAGGCGGCGGAUGAACUGUGGGUAGCGGAGAAAUUCCAAUCGAACCCGGAGAUAGCUGGUUCUCCCCGAAAUAGUUUUAGGACUAGCCUCAAGUUAGAUACCUGGAGGUAAAGCACUGAAUAGCCUAGCGGCCGAGAGGUUAGCGAAGCUUAUCAAACUCAGAAUGCCAGAGUAUUGAUGCUUGGGAGUCAGACAGUGUCAGAUAAAUGUCAUUGUCAAAAGGGAAACAGCCCAGAUCUACAGCUAAGGUCCCAAAGUCAGGUUAAGUGGAAAACGAUGUGAAGAUACGCAGACAACCAGGAUGUUGGCUCAGAAGCAGCCACUCAUUCAAAGAGUGCGUAAUAGCUCACUGGUCGAGCGUCUUUGCGCGGAGAAUUUAACGGGGCUAAACCUGACACCGAAGCUUAGGCAAUGUAGUAAUACAUUGGGUAGGGGAGCGUUGUAUACGCGGUGAAACAGUAGCGCAAGCGGCUGUGGAGUGUAUAGAAGUGAGAAUGCCGGAAUGAGUAGCGCGAAUGCAGUGAGAAUCUGCAUGGCCGAAAGCCUCAGGUUUCUGGAGGAAGGUUCGUCCGCUCCAGGUUAGUCGGGAGCUAAGGUGAGGCCUAACGGCGUAGCCGAUGCACAGACGGUAGAGAUUCCGUCACCACCAAAAGAGUUAAACACAGGGACACAUUUGAAGUCUCGGAGCCGGGUGUUGGUUCCGGUAGCGAUCGAGGGAAGUUAGUACCGAAGUCCGGGAUGGAAGAUGGCGAGAAAAGCUGUGUGUAUUUCUGCGGUGCCCGUACCGCAAACCGACACAGGUAGGUAGGAAGAAGAUUCUAAGGCCAACGGGAGAAGGGUUGUUAAGGAACUCGGCAAAUUGACCCCGUAACUUCGGGAGAAGGGGUGCUCCAGAGAUGGAGCCGCAGAGAAUCGGCCCAAGCAACUGUUUACCAAAAACACAGGUUUGUGCUAAAUCGAAAGAUGACGUAUACGAGCUGACGCCUGCCCGGUGCUGGAAGGUUAAGAGGAGAUGUGCAAGCAUUGAAUCGAAGCCCCAGUGAACGGCGGCCGUAACUAUAACGGUCCUAAGGUAGCGAAAUUCCUUGUCAGGUAAGUUCUGACCCGCAUGAAAGGCGUAAUGAUUUGGGCACUGUCUCAACAGCCCGCCCGGCGAAAUUGUAGUACCGGUGAAGAUGCCGGUUACCCGCGACAAGACGGAAAGACCCCAUGGAGCUUUACUGUAGCCUAAUAUUGGGUUUCGAUGUUGCAUGCACAGGAUAGAUGGGACUCUGGGAAGUGAUCGCUUUGGCGGUCAUGGAGAGGACGUUGGGAUACCAUCCUUGCGAUAUUGGAAUUCUAACCUGCGGCUCUGAAUCGAGUCGGGGGACAUUGUUAGGUGGGCAGUUUGACUGGGGCGGUCGCCUCCUAAAGAGUAACGGAGGCGUUCAAAGGUUCGCUCAGCUUGAACGGAAAUCAAGCAAAAGAGUGCAAACGCAGAAGCGAGCCUAACUGCGAGACUGACGGGUCGAGCAGUAACGAAAGUUGGAGUUAGUGAUCCGGUGGUAUGUGAGUGGAAAUGCCAUCGCUCAACGGAUAAAAGUUACCCUGGGGAUAACAGGCUGAUCUCCCCCAAGAGUCCACAUCGACGGGGAGGUUUGGCACCUCGAUGUCGGCUCAUCGCAUCCUGGGGCUGUAUUCGGUCCCAAGGGUUUGGCUGUUCGCCAAUUAAAGCGGUACGCGAGCUGGGUUCAGAACGUCGUGAGACAGUUCGGUCCCUAUCUGUCGUGGGCGCAGGAUAUUUGAUGGGAGCUGUCCCUAGUACGAGAGGACCGGGACGGACGUACCUCUGGCGCACCAGUUGUUCCGCCAGGAGCAUAGCUGGGCAACUACGUACGGAUCGGAUAAACGCUGAAAGCAUCUAAGCGUGAAGCCGACCCAAAGAUAAGAUAUCCCACUGAUUUGA